CAAACCAAACCAAAAAAAAAGCUUCCUCAAUUCAAAUUCUCUCUUUUAUUUUAUUUAUUUUUUGCAAAAAAUAAAAAAUAAAAUUUCCAUAAUCCCAUUUAUCUUAAAUUCAGACCAAAAGAGAAGAAGAUUGUCUGAAGAAAAUAUUGAGAAAAAAAAAAAGAAUAGUAUUCGGACCACCCAAUCCAGUCCCUUUUCUUUUCUGCCGCUUUAGGCACCUCUCCUGUAAUUGAUAAAUAUAUUAUUCAUCAGAUACAAUCAAAUCAAAUCAAAUCGCGUAUAUAUAUAGCUAAUAAUUUAAUUUAAACAUACAUGAAGGUAAAGCUUCCCAUUUACAUUCGAUUUGAUAUCAGAUACGCACACUGUGCCAAAACGAGAAUGCUGAGAUUGAUUGAGUGAGUUCUGAAGAAGAAGAACAAAGUUGUUAGCUGCUGCUGCUGC
rnacentral:lncRNA from 1 species